AUUGAACGCUGGCGGCAUGCCUUACACAUGCAAGUCGAACGGCAGCACGGACUUCGGUCUGGUGGCGAGUGGCGAACGGGUGAGUAAUAUAUCGGAACAUACCCUAGAGUGGGGGAUAACGUAGCGAAAGUUACGCUAAUACCGCAUACGAACUAAGGUUGAAAGUGGGGGAUCGCAAGACCUCAUGCUCAUGGAGUGGCCGAUAUCUGAUUAGCUAGUUGGUGGGGUAAAAGCCCACCAAGGCGACGAUCUGUAGCUGGUCUGAGAGGACGACCAGCCACACUGGAACUGAGACACGGUCCAGACUCCUACGGGAGGCAGCAGUGGGGAAUUUUGGACAAUGGGGGCAACCCUGAUCCAGCAAUGCCGCGUGAGUGAAGAAGGCCUUCGGGUUGUAAAGCUCUUUUGUCAGGGAAGAAACGGUGAUCGCUAAUAUCGGUUGCUAAUGACGGUACCUGAAGAAUAAGCACCGGCUAACUACGUGCCAGCAGCCGCGGUAAUACGUAGGGUGCAAGCGUUAAUCGGAAUUACUGGGCGUAAAGCGUGCGCAGGCGGUUAUAUAAGUCAGAUGUGAAAUCCCCGGGCUCAACCUGGGAACUGCAUUUGAGACUGUAUGGCUAGAGUGUGUCAGAGGGGGGUAGAAUUCCACGUGUAGCAGUGAAAUGCGUAGAUAUGUGGAGGAAUACCGAUGGCGAAGGCAGCCCCCUGGGAUAACACUGACGCUCAUGCACGAAAGCGUGGGGAGCAAACA
rnacentral:rRNA from 1 species